rnacentral:rRNA from 1 species
AUACGGAGGGUGCAAGCGUUGUUCGGAAUCACUGGGCGUAAAGGGCGCGCAGGCGGUUGGGUAAGUCAGAUGUGAAAGCCCAUGGCUCAACCCGGGAACUGCAUUCGAUACUGUCAGACUAGAAUAUGGUAGAGGGUAGUGGAAUUCCUGGUGUAGCGGUGAAAUGCGUAGAUAUCAGGAGGAACAUCAGUGGCGAAGGCGGCUACCUGGACCAAUAUUGACGCUGAGGUGCGAAAGCGUGGGGAGCAAACAGGAUUAGAUACCCUAGUAGUCC